GACGAAGGUGGCGAGCGUUACUCGGAAUUACUAGGCGUAAAGCGUGGGCAGGUGGCUCGGAAAGUCUGUUGUGAAAGCUCCCGGCUUAACUGGGAGAGGUCAAUGGAUACUUUCGGGCUUGAAUGUGGGAGAGGUGGCUGGAAUUCCUGGUGUAGCGGUGAAAUGCGUAGAUAUCAGGAGGAACACCGAUGGCGAAAGCAGGUCACUGGACCACAAUUGACACUCAUCCACGAAAGCUAGGGGAUCAAACAGG
rnacentral:misc_RNA from 1 species